AGUUUAGUUUUUGGUGCCACACAUCCGGGUCCUUGAGGAAGGUCACAGAGUCAUCAAACUCAGAUUCACCGAUUUACGGUUCACAUCAGGUGAAACCUCCUUUACGGCACUUGUUUACAGAGUACUUGAGCUUGGCGGGGGUCCACCAUGUCAGAUGACCAGCAGUCAAACUCUCAGGUGAGAGCUGACCAAGGAGUUGAAAAUGUCCAGAUUGCUGAGAUGAUGUUUAACGUGAAAGGCACAGGUUGUGGAAGUUUUAUUAGUGGAAAAAGCGUACACAACCAGAGAAUUGAGCACCUAUGGAGGGACGUUUGGACAGGCGUGACACAUGUUUAUUAUGAUGUACUACACAGCUUGGAAGAAGAUGGAUUUCUCAACAUUUCAGAUAGUCUUCAUCUCUUCAGUGCCCAGUACACCUUCCUCCCAAGGCUCAAGGCUGAUUUGGCCAAGUUUUCUGCUGGCUGGAAUGAUCAUCCCAUCAGGACAGAGCGUAGCCUUUCCCCAAACCAGCUGUGAGAACUUGGGAUGCUGCAGUGCCCCAUCAGAAAGCCAGAUAUGUCUGAGGAAAAUGUGGCAGGAAUCCAAAUGCAGGAAAUUGAUUGGGAGAGCUCAAGACCAUCCCAUCAUGCAGACCCAGUUGUUACUGUGCCACAAAUGGAACGCCCACUGAAGGCAGAAGAUAUUGAAUCUCUGCGCUGUGCCAUUAAUCCCCUUAUGCCUUCAUCCAGUUUUGGAAGAGACAUUUAUUUAACCACACUCACAUCCUAUGCACCUACAUCACCUUCACUCACUGUCAUAGCUAGGCUCAUCAGAUGGUGAAAUUAUAAGAAUGUGGUGAUUCUUAUAAUGUGGUUCUAUAUCAUAUGCUUGACCUCAUUGAUAUAAGUUUAUAAUAAUCCCUCCUUCUCAAUUAUAAAAGUCUCUCCCAGUUUUAAGGGUACUGAGCAUUUAUUUCCACAUUCUGGACUUUUACUCCCAACCCAAAUAGAUUCUGUCAAGUUGACACAGCCACAUUCAAGAGCGAGAGAAAUCAGUGCGCUAUUGUAACUACUCUUUAAUUGUUUAAAGGCAAUCAAAAAUGACUGACGAUGAACACCAUCAAAAAUAUAAAAAUUAAAGAUCAGUAUCAAAAACAUUCUUUUGUUUUUAGUUUUACUUACUUUCCAUUGAUCAUCCAGAUUUUAAGCUGGAUGAUCAUCCUCCUAAACAUGAUAAAAUGGAAGGCCUUUGUCAUCACAAGCUUGAACUCAUUAUAUGUUUGUAUAUGCUGAACAGGCAGUCGAACUGUAUUACUACAUGCUGUAACUGUAGGGUAGCAAACUGCACGAACACCAUAUUGAAUAUGACAGGUGUGGUUGAACUGCACGAAGACUUUGAAGUUUCUCUUCUCUUCUAGCAGGAAAGGAAUGUGGCCUUGUCCCGUAAGCCACUGCAAGAAUGUGCUUGGGUUGAGAACUGGACUGUCACCCGCCUCUGGCUCUUCACCUUUUUAAAGACAAGUCAUUUAAAUAAAAGAUUGUAUACUGUUUACCUGUAACUGCACAAAGAAAAUAAAAAAAUGUAAUGUUUGACUAAA